GUCCACGCCGUAAACGUUGGGCACUAGGUGUGGGGCCUUAUCAACGGGUUCCGUGCCGUAGCUAACGCAUUAAGUGCCCCGCCUGGGGAGUACGGCCGCAAGGCUAAAACUCAAAGGAAUUGACGGGGGCCCGCACAAGCGGCGGAGCAUGUGGCUUAAUUCGAUGCGACGCGAAGAACCUUACCUGGGCUUGACAUGUAGAGAAAAGCCGUAGAGAUACGGUGUCCUUCGGGCUUUACACAGGUGGUGCAUGGCUGUCGU
rnacentral:rRNA from 1 species